rnacentral:lncRNA from 1 species
AACCUGUGAUCACCACUUGAACCUCUAUGUGAAGGCAAAACAAGAGAGAAUCUAUAGGGCAUCUUAUAAGGCCUGAAUCAACUUACUAACUAAGGUUUACAAAAUAGGGAGUAAAAUAUCAGUUUAUAUCUUUUACAACAUGGUGACUACACCUGCUGGUAACUAUAGUUUUUUAUAUGAUUCAAAAUCAAUUCACUGAUUUAACUAUUCCUUCUUAAUUUGUGUAUAUGUGUAGAAUGGAGAGAGUGAGAUUUGGGUGAGGAAGUUAAUUUUCUAACUUUUCAUAAUAUACUAAACUCUUAAGUGUAUAUAAAUAGAGAUAGCAUUGUAUAGAUUAUUUUUAAUCAUUUAUUUAUACGCAUAUUUUUUCUACUGUACAGCAUGGUGAUUCAGUUACACACACAUAUAUACAUUCUUUUUUCUCACAUUACAUCUUCCAUCAUAAGUGACUAGACAGAAUUGCCAGUGCUACACAGCAAGAUCCCUAUUGCCUUUGAAAUGGAUUAGCAAUGAGAUCCUGCUGUGGAACACAGAACUAUGAUUACUUACUUAUGACAGAGCAUGAUAAUGGGAGAAAAGUUAUGUAUACAUGUAUGUGUAACUGGGUCCCCAUGCUAUACAGUGGGAAAAAAAUUGUGUUGGGGAAAUAACAAUAAAAAAGUAAAUAAACUAUCCAAUUUUUUACUAAAAGAAAAAUAAAUAUACAAUGUGAUGAUUUGAUACAUGUAUAUAAAAGGCCCACUCUUUUAUUUUUCAUUUUGUGUAUGUGUGUGUGUGUAUUUUAGGGCCACACACAUGGCAAAUGGAGUUUCCCAGGCUACAGGUCUAAUCGGAGCUACAGCUGCCUGCCUAUGCCACAGUCACAGCAACGCCAUAUCUGAGCCUCAUCUGUGACCUACACCACAGCUCAUGGCAAUGCUGGAUCUUUAACCCACUGAGCAAGGCCAGGGAUCAAACCUUCAACUUUGUGGUUCCUAAUCGGAUUGGUUUCCAUUACACCAGAUGGGAACUCUGGCCCACUCUCUUAAAAAACUGGGAAAAUGGUUUAGAAUAUAUUUUCUUUUUUUUUUUUUUUCUUAUUAGAGUUGCACCCACCACAUAUGGAGGUUCCCAAGCUAGAGGUCCAGUCGGAGCUACAGUUGCCGGCCUCGACAGGAACAACUAGAGUAUAUUUCGAACAAUGAUUUCAGAGAAAAAUUUGAGAAGGGACAUAAAAAAAUCUUUUGACCCAUUCCAUUUUAAUAUCAUAAUGAGAAGUCUUACCAUAGCAAUAGAGAAAAUAUUAUUGACUAGAAAGAAAUUCCAGAGAAAUAUUUAAUUAUUGUGAGAAUUUAAUAUGUUAAAAGGCCUCAUAUAUUUCCAAUGGAAGAAAUGGUAAAUAACAUUGAUAUAUUGAGCCACCCCUGUAAAUAUCCAUUCUAAGCCUAUACAAUACAACAAAAACAAAUGCAAAAUAUCUAGAAGAUUGGAAAGAUUCAGAAGUAAAGAUUAACUAUUCAAGCAUUAAAAAAUACAGGUAUGUGUAUUAAGACAUGAAAUCCAAAUGAUAUUAAAGGGAAAUUAAUAUAUCUGAUUUUAUAAGAUAAAAAUUCUUUGCUGAUUAAAGUUGAAAUAAAAUCAAGAUACAAAGAGAAUCCUGGGAAAUACUUAAGUAAAAUAAAGAAGUAACUAUGUUUCCUAUGCAGAAGAAUACGUAAAAAUUGAUAAGAAAAAUACAGCUAACUCAGUUUAAAGAAAUAUUCAAAUGAUAUUAACAGAUAAUUCAAAGACAGGAAAAGCAUAUGGAGAAUAAAUAUAUAAAAUGAUGUUAAAAUUAUUAAUAGAGGAGUUUCCCCUGUGGCCCAAUGUGUUAAGGACCCGACAGUGUCUCUGUGAAGAUGUGGGUUUGAUACCUGGCUUCACUCAGUGGAUCAAGGAUCCAGUGUUGCCACAAGCUGCAGUGUAGGUUGAAAAUGCAGCUUGGAUCUGGUGUUGCUGUGGUUGUGGCAUAGGCCUCAGCUGCAGCUGUAAUUCAAUCCCUAGCCUAUGAAAUUCCAUUUACUGCAGGUGCAGCCAUAAAAAAGUUAUUAAUAGAGAAAUAUAAAUGGAAAUAACAAUGACCUAUCAUUUCACCCAUCACAUUGGUAAAAACUAAACUUUUAAUAACAUUUAAUGCAUUUUUGGGGAUGGAUAAAAUUGAUACCCUCACAUUUUUUUGGUGGAACAGUGAAUUGCUUAUGAAUAAUAAUUUUGGAAGUUAAGAUCACCAUAUCUAAUACAAAUUAAAAUUAAACUAUGUGUAUAAUUUUACCCAGUAAUCACUAACUUUUCUACAUAAACAAAAGUACCAAUAUAUUAGCAUAAAUGUAUCAAAUAUUUUUAAAGUUUUUAUUGCAGUGGCAAAAAUCAAGAAGUGUUUGCUUAGUAAUAAUAUAAGGGAAUGCUUAAACAAAUAAUAUUUAUUCUGUUAUGCAAGAUUUAAGAAGAAUGAGUAAUUCUACAUGUAUUGACAUGCUAGAAUAUCCACACAUGUAAUGUAAGCAAGUAAUGUAAUGUAGGUAAUAUAAGCAAGUUCUGAGGAAUGUGUAUUGUAUGAUACUCAAGUGUAUUAGGUAAGUUAUGCUGUAUACAGAGACUAACAUGCAGGCACACAUGCACACACACCAAGUAAAGCUACAUUCAGCUUCAGAUUUAAUUAGUAAAAGAUAAAGAAUCAAUACAUUGAGGGAGCGGGGAUGGUAUCCUUCUGCACAUAUUUCCUUGGCCCUAAGGUCAUGAGCUGAGAGAUUGGAGAGGCUCAAUUAUUGCUACACCUGCACUCCUGUUCUUUUUUACUCAACAUAUAAAUCAUCAGUUGGGAAAAAUUUAGAUUGUUAGUCUCUGUCAUGCUAUGUAUUGGGAUGUUACAAAUAUUAGACUUUUCUGUCUUAGGAAGCAGACUCAAUUGUCAGCGGGGCUUCAUUCCCAUAUGAGGGAAGAAGGGAGAGUCAGAUGCUGCCUAUCCAUGAACAGUACAUCUGCCUCCAUCCGAAAACAGUGUCCUGGGAUUUCCAUUUAUCAUCAACCUUCGCCAGAUUCUGAUCCAAUACUUUUCAGUCUUCUUGGUUCUAAAAUAGAGCUAGAAUACAAGUAAAAUUUUUCUUGGUUGAAAUAUCAUUUUUAGAUUGAAUCCCUUCAGCCUAAAUCAAUCUGUUCUUUAAACUUUCAUGAUAUCAGGUAUUUUGCUCUCUUCUGAAGGUAACAAAGGUGAUAUGUUUCUACAUCUGAAACCUGUCACAAGGCAGAGCUCAAUUUAACCAAAAAUUGUAUAUACUUAUGUAAUCAGAGAAAAGCUGUCAUCUAGCUGGUACUUGUCUAGAAACUACUGUACUUUGACAGAAGUGUCUAGAAUAUACUAUAGAACUAGGGUUUUUUUGGUUUUUUUUUUCCGUUCACUUGGUAAAUUAAUGAUAGUUGUCCUCCACUAUUUCUACUCUGCACUUUCCUUGACCCUUCUCCCUUUUUUAAAAAAAUUAAAAUAUUCUAGAAUUACUGGAAUAGUAGUCCCCAAACUUCUUUAUCCAUCUGAUCUAGAAAUACAAUUAUUUAGUUUAAGAUUCCGUUUUGAUUGAUUCUUAUUAACUUCAGGGGCACAGAGUUAAGUGAAUAAGCCUCGGGUCACGAGACACAGGCAUCACUGGCCCCUGUAUGACCCAUUUUAUUCUAAUUAAUUAUUUAAUUAUCAGAUACAAAAAUCUAAUUAUGAAUACUUUCAGUGUGUACUUCUACAGUAAAGCAAUAUGCAGAAAUUGUGGCUGGCUAGGAUAAACUAAUAGUUUUCCAGUCUGAAAUGCAAGCUUUGACAUCUGGUUAGUAUCUUUUAAUUAGGAGGAAAUAAAAAGGUCCACCCAGGUACAAAGUAUAUUAAUUUGCCAUCAAGGAUGGAUUGUCAAAUCUCAUUAAGCACAUGGGGUUUUGGUUUGGCCCUGUGUUGCUCUGUGACACAGAAGAUGAGCCCAAGUGACUACAGCUAAUAGAGGUUUAUUUUUCCCUCCAAUGGCACCGCAUGUGUUUGGCGCAGAGAAGGUCUUACCCUGUAUUCAUAGAGGUGAGUGCUAGCCAAUGACUUCGGACACUGCUCUAGAUAAUUACAAGCAGUUUGCUUGGGUUUUUAUUUUACACAGCAAUUAUUAGGGACUGAUAACAUUAUGUUUCACAAUUAACCUAAAGAGAAAUUGUAGGUUUUAGCUCUGAAAGACCUUGAUAGAAAGCUGAUCUGUUUCGAAGGAGGGAAAUUAAGGACAUAUUUCACUAGUUGAUAUCUGGCAGUAGAUUAAUGACUGACAUUUUCAAGACUCUAUAUUGAAGAAUUUAAAUAAACAUUUGUUAACUUGAUGCAUUAGAGUCAAUGUGCUCUUGUCACUAUCGUUGUAAAGGGAAGUGAUUCAGAGAAAAAAAUACAGGAAGGCACGUUAGACACAUGAAACGGUCGUAUAGUACUCCAGAAACACUAUUUUUUUUUAAGCGUAUCAUCCUUCAGAAUAGAAUUCUUAAACAAUGUGAUGUUCAGGUUUGUGCACCUUGAGAAGAAAGUAAGAUCCUCUAAUUUGUGAACAAAGUAAAUAAGCCUUUUUUCCAAGUGCUUGAGACUUUCACUAAACUUACAAUGAAUGAGUUAAUUCAAUGGUCUAUACUAAAGUGUAUCACAAACAGAAUGAAUGUAAUAUAAUGUAAAUGCAGAAUU